GGUGCUGUACUUUAUAUUAAAAGGUCUGACUUGCAUUCAGAAAAUAAAGAAAUCAUUCUUUCGGUGCCA
rnacentral:tRNA from 1 species